rnacentral:rRNA from 1 species
UACGGAGGGUGCAAGCGUUAUCCGGAUUCACUGGGUUUAAAGGGUGCGUAGGCGGGUAAGUAAGUCCGUGGUGAAAUCUCUGAGCUUAACUCAGAAACUGCCGUGGAUACUAUUUGCCUUGAAUAUUGUGGAGGUGAGCGGAAUAUGUCAUGUAGCGGUGAAAUGCUUAGAUAUGACAUAGAACACCAAUUGCGAAGGCAGCUCACUACGGAAAUAUUGACGCUGAGGCACGAAAGCGUGGGGAUCAAACAGG